CCGGGAUGGACGCACCGCUGGUGUACCAGUUGUCUUGCCAAAGGCAUCGCUGGUAGCUAUGUGCGGACGGGAUAAGCGCUGAAAGCAUCUAAGUGCGAAGCCCCCUCAAGAUGAGAUUUCCCAUUUCUUCAAGAAAGUAAGACACCUCAGAGACGAUGAGUAGAUAGGCCGGGAGUGGAAGAGCCGUGAGGCUUGGAGCGGACCGGUACUAAUCAGUCGAGGACUUGACCAAAA
rnacentral:rRNA from 1 species